GCAACGGACUUAGAUCAUUGAGUGCGCACAGGGAAAUCUGUGACGUAGAACUGCUCAAAUUCGGGGAAACCUUUAACAUGGCAAUCCCGAGCCAAGCCUGAAAGUCCGCUUUCAGGAAGGUGUAGAGACUAGACGGGCAGCACCUGCGCCCCGGCCUGCCGGGAAUGGUGAAGGGAUAGUCCAGACCACAAACGCCCCUCCGGG
rfam:Sphingomonadales bacterium GWF1_63_6 gwf1_scaffold_9647, whole genome shotgun sequence.